UCGAGGUUUAAGUAGUAGGUCCGCAGAUACCCCGUACCGCCUGUUUUUGAGCGGCCGAUUAGACCGGGGAAUUUGUUUGCCACGUAGUUGACGUAGACACGCGCGCUUUGCACUUGGUCGAUGUCGCCCCAAAUGGCGAGGCCAAGCUGCUGUGCGUUGAAAUGACGCGGCCAGGCCGUCGCGAGCAGACAGAGCAACUCGAGCUC
rnacentral:misc_RNA from 1 species